rnacentral:rRNA from 1 species
AAUGAACGCUGGCGGCAGGCCUAACACAUGCAAGUCGAGCGGAGCGGCGGACGGGGAAGUACUGCCUAGGAAUCUGCCUGUUAGUGGGGGACAACGCCCGGGAACGGGCGCUAAUACCGCAUACUAUCAAGUGAGCCUAGGUCGGAUUAGCUAGUUGGUGGGGUAAAGGCUUACCAAGUCGACGAUCCGUAGGUGGUCUGAGAGGAUGAUCAGUAACACUGGAACUGAGACACGGUCCAGACUCCUACGGGAGGCAGCAGUAGGGAAUAUUCGGCAAUGGGCGAAAGCCUGAUCGAGCCAUGCCGCGUGAGUGAAGAAGGUCUUCGGAUUGUAAAGCACUGUAGGUUGGGAAGCGUUACCUAAAGAGUAAGCAACGGCUAACUUCGUGCCAGCAGCCGCGGUAAUAC